AGAGUUUGAUCAUGGCUCAGAGCGAACGCUGGCGGCAGGCUUAACACAUGCAAGUCGAGCGGACGUAGCAAUACGUCAGCGGCAGACGGGUGAGUAACGCGUGGGAACGUACCUUUUGGUUCGGAACAACACAGGGAAACUUGUGCUAAUACCGGAUAAGCCCUUACGGGGAAAGAUUUAUCGCCGAAAGAUCGGCCCGCGUCUGAUUAGCUAGUUGGUGAGGUAACGGCUCACCAAGGCGACGAUCAGUAGCUGGUCUGAGAGGAUGAUCAGCCACAUUGGGACUGAGACACGGCCCAAACUCCUACGGGAGGCAGCAGUGGGGAAUAUUGGACAAUGGGCGCAAGCCUGAUCCAGCCAUGCCGCGUGAGUGAUGAAGGCCCUAGGGUUGUAAAGCUCUUUUGUGCGGGAAGAUAAUGACGGUACCGCAAGAAUAAGCCCCGGCUAACUCCGUGCCAGCAGCCGCGGUAAUACGAAGGGGGCUAGCGUUGCUCGGAAUCACUGGGCGUAAAGGGUGCGUAGGCGGGUCUUUAAGUCAGGGGUGAAAUCCUGGAGCUCAACUCCAGAACUGCCUUUGAUACUGAAGAUCUUGAGUUCGGGAGAGGUGAGUGGAACUGCGAGUGUAGAGGUGAAAUUCGUAGAUAUUCGCAAGAACACCAGUGGCGAAGGCGGCUCACUGGCCCGAUACUGACGCUGAGGCACGAAAGCGUGGGGAGCAAACAGGAUUAGAUACCCUAGUAGUCC
rnacentral:rRNA from 1 species